rnacentral:rRNA from 1 species
CGGGAUUACCUCAGUAACGGCGAGUGAAGCGGUAAGAGCUCAAAUUUGAAAGCUGCCAACAGGUCGCAUUGUAAUUUGUAGAAGAUGCUUUGGGUGUUGGCCUAGUCUAAGUUCCUUGGAACAGGACGUCAUAGAGGGUGAGAAUCCCGUAUGUGAUUAGUGCCUUCCCCCGUGUAAAGCUCUUUCGACGAGUCGAGUUGUUUGGGAAUGCAGCUCAAAAUGGGUGGUAAAUUUCAUCUAAAGCUAAAUAUUGGCCAGAGACCGAUAGCGCACAAGUAGAGUGAUCGAAAGAUGAAAAGCACUUUGGAAAGAGAGUUAAACAGUACGUGAAAUUGUUGAAAGGGAAGCGCUUGCAAUCAGACUUGCAGGCGGUUGAUCAUCUGGGGUUCUCCCCAGUGCACUCGACCGUCUUCAGGCCAGCAUCAGUUCUUGUGGUGGGAUAAAGGCUGUGAGAAUGUGGCUCUUCGGAGUGUUAUAGCUCACGGUGCAAUGCCGCCUACGGGGACUGAGGACCGCGCUUCGGCUAGGAUGCUGGCGUAAUGGUUGUAAGCGACCCGUCUUGAAACACGGACCAAGGAGUCUAACAUCUAUGCGAGUGUUUGGGUGUCAAACCCAUACGCGUAAUGAAAGUGAACGGAGGUGAGAACCCUUUAGGGCGCAUCAUCGACCGAUCCUGAUGUCUUCGGAUGGAUUUGAGUAAGAGCAUAGCUGUUGGGACCCGAAAGAUGGUGAACUAUGCGUGAAUAGGGUGAAGCCAGAGGAAACUCUGGUGGAGGCUCGCAGCGGUUCUGACGUGCAAAUCGAUCGUCAAAUUUGCGUAUAGGGGCGAAAGACUAAUCGAACCAUCUAGUACUGGUCUCGAAAUU